CCCUUAGAUGUCCUGGGCUGCACGCGCGCUACACUGAUGUGUCCAGUAAGCACCUAACCUAUUCCGAGAGGAGCGGGUAACCUUAGCAAAGCACAUCGUGAUGGGGAUAGAUUAUUGCAAUUAUUAGUCUUGAACGAGGAAUUCCUAGUAAGCACAAGUCAUCAGCUUGUGUUGAUUACGUCCCUGCCCUUUGUACACACCGCCCGUCGCUCCUACCGAUUGAAUGUUCCGGUGAGCUCUCGGACUGCGCGGUCUGCAGUUUCUGCGUUCCGUGCGGAAAGUUGUGCAAACCUUAACAUUUAGAGGAAGGAGAAGUCGUAACA
rnacentral:rRNA from 1 species